rnacentral:rRNA from 1 species
UGAUGCGGUCAUACCAAGGCUACUACACCAGAUCCCAUCGGAACUCUGAAGUUAAGCGCCUUUGGGCCGGAAUAGUACUGGGAUGGGUGACCU